UUCGGCAAGUGAUGUGAAAGCUCYUGGCUCAACUAGGAGARGUCGUUCAAACUACCGAACUKAGGGCAUCAGAGGAAAGUGGAAUUCCCGGUGUAGUGGUGAAAUGCGUAGAUAUCGGGAGGAACACCAGUGGCGAAAGCGACUUUCUGGGAUGCAUCUGACGCUCAGACGCGAAAGCUAGGGUAGCAAACGGGAUUAGAGACCCCGGUAGUCCUAGCAGUAAACGAUGUAGACUUGGUGUCGGUAGUGUCAAAGCUAUCGGUAUCGAAGCUAACGCGAUAAGUCUACCGCCUGGGGACUACGGCCGCAAGGUUAAAACUCAAAGGAAUUGACGGGGCCCCGCACAAGCAGCGGAGCGUGUGGUUUAAUUCGAUGCUACACGAAGAACCUUACCCAGGUUUGACAUGUUGGUGGUAGGAAACCGAAAGGGGACCGACCCGCAAGGGAGCCUUCACAGGUGCUGCAUGGCUGUCGUCAGCUCGUGUCGUGAGAUGUUCGGUUAAGUCCGCUAACGAGCGCAACCCUCGCCGCGUGUUAUACGUGUCACGCGGAACCGCCGGUAUCAAGCCGGAGGAAGGUGGGGAUGACGUCAAGUCAGCAUGGCCUUUAUGUCUGGGGCUACACACACGCUACAAUGGUCGGUACAAUGGGUUGCUAAGCCGCGAGGUAGAGCCAAUCCCCAAAGCCGGCCUCAGUUCAGAUCACAGGCUGCAACUCGCCUGUGUGAAGUCGGAGUUGCUAGUAAACGCGCGUCAGCUAUAGUGCGUUGAAUACGUUCUCGGGGCUUGUACACACCGCCCGUCACGUCAUGGGAGCUGGUAACACCUGAAGCCGGUAGCUUAACCRUAAGGAGGGCGCUGUCGAAGGUGGUGCUGGUGACUGGGACGAAGUCGUAACAAGGUAGC
rnacentral:rRNA from 1 species